GGCAGCUCUUCUAGUGAUCUCCAAGCCAUGUCCAGGAGAAGCUCAGAGGACAGCUCACCAGGAGGGCUCCAGGCUUCAGCCUCCCAGAGGAAUCUCUCAGGAGAUGUGGGCAGCAGAGAAAGCUUCACAAUCCAAGUGGGAGAGGCUGAAACGUUCCUUUUCGUGGCAAACAGGAACCACCCGCACUGAUUCCCAGCGCUGAAGC